CGGAGUAGAUUAGGAAAACAGCUGGAUGGAAUGGAGUCCUGCCUUCGUUCUGCCCCCUACCGUGACCCAGGUGAGAGCCCCACCGAGCUCCAAGCCGAGCCCCCUAUAAACAUCAGCCGGGAGUGAGGAAGGGAAGGGGUGCGGCGCAGGAAUUUCCCAGCCAUCUCCAACAGCUGCAGCCCCCCGCUUCCGAUCGCUCCCCUCCCCCAGUCCAGGCGGUCAGGUAGCCAACAGCUUCCUCGCUCACGUCCUUCCCAACCGUCCUCGUCCAGGGUUGAGUCACUGUCCUCCAUUCCCCACCUUCCGCUGCAUCCACACCCUCUGCGUGUGACUCUGCAGAUCCUCCGACAAUUUUCGAAGAGGAACACGUCUACUGCCCUGCGACUCUGGGCUUGACCCGGGAAUAUUAGCAGAUGUGACGCACGUAGUGGUUUGAGAUGUGCUUGUGCGACGGGGCGUGACCUCUUGUGCCUCUGCCAUCGCCGUGAGAAGAACGUGCCCCAGCUAGCUCGCUGGUCCCCGGAGGAAGAGAGACAUGUGGCACAGACCCGGACCCAAACUGCAGCCUGGAGCCCAAGCCAGCUGAUCCCAGCCGACAUCAGCCAAACCGCGCUGCUCUACGGGGUCUGAGUAGAGGCUCGGCGGUAUGUCGCCGAGGCUUCCAGCCGUCCGGUCCCAGCAGUAGCUUAUGGACAUACAGGUCCACCCUCCAGCCCCUCUUGGAAACAUACACAAGAGGAAGGUGUCCGGGAAGAGGCGGCCUCACGGGAAUCCUUGUCCCAGGAGACUAUUCCUUCCUCGUGUGAGUCUCAAUAGUGAUGUCAUAGUCUCUGUGACUCACCUCUCCCAGGAGGCUUUAGUGUGCUAGUAAUAACACUCAUUAGCGUUCACCUGGGGUUUUAUAAGCAGGAGGUGACAGUGACUGGCAACCAUCUUCUGAGGUUUGGGAAAGGCCAGGAUUAUGACGUCCAUUUUGCCAAGAGGAAAUAAAAAACAGACAAGCAGGUCAGCGCGAGAACGAAUGCUGUCCCACCCAGGAACAUCCAGAAUGCGCCAAGAAUAGACUGAGGGCUGGGGGUCGAUUUGGGAGAAGCAGCCAGGGUUUCUUCUUCAUGAAUAUGUUUCAUCGCAGAAUUCCUUUGAAUUGGAGAAAUUACAACUCCGAUGAUAGGCUCCGUGGUUGGUUGGGGUCCCGACAUCACCUAUCCCCGUGCCGUGAAGGUUUCGGGUCUUGUUCUCAUUGGACUUUACGCGGAGAGCCAAGUCUUAGCCAGAGUAGGAUAUAUAUUUUAAAAAAAUAAAAAUAAAAAAUAAAAACCCAUCUGCCCAGCUUUCCUUUAAAGCAGUCGUUCUCAAACUGCUCAAUACCAGAAGGGUCAGGAGCGCUUGUCGAAACACAAAAUGCUGAGCUCCACUCCAGGGGUCCUGACUCGGCAUUUCUAACCAAUUCCCACCUGGUGUUGAUGCUGCUGGUCCGGGGACCACACUUGAAGAAUUGCUAGUCUCAAUGAUUUAAGCUGGCUCCUGGAUACGGUGACCUCCUCCCAAGUCCGAGGAGCUGGCUCUUUGGCCCGGCUGUGCCACAGCCCGGCUCCGUCCACCCUCACGCCAGGACUGCUCCGUCUCUGCUUUGCGGUCUGCGUAGGCACACGGGGACAUUGCGGCCCGUGUCAAAAGGCCACGAGGGCCUGAAAGUUACUGUAGCAGAAUCGGAAACCUUACCAGGGUCCCUGCUAGCUUUUAGGAGAAGCACUUGAAGCUUCGGGGAAGAGAAGUUUACAUCCUGGGAAAACCCCGGCUCCAGCAGCCAAGCUUUGAACAGGAGGCAGCAGCCGGGUGUCUCCCCCACCCCCUUCCAAAGGCCACGGGACUCCCGGCCGUCAUCUGUGAGGGGCUCCGUGUACUCUCCACACUGCCUGGUCUGUGCCUCAGCCCACAAUCUCUUUCUUUCUUGAGCCUUACAGGAGAAGGUGAGAAGGGCUAAGAUAUGCGUUCCCUGUCACAAUUAAAGUCCAAACUCCUGACCGUGGCCUGCCUGGCGCUCAGACCUCCUCUCCCUGCUCUCCAGCUCGUCAGCUCCACUCUGACCCUCUGGCCUCCCUGCUGUCCCUCCAACACCAAUCUUUUUCCACCCUGAAUCUCUGCGUUCCCGCUGUCUGCUAAGCCAAGGAUCCAGAUGGGACACGAGACCGGUGGUUCAGGCGGCCCCUCUCCAGAGAGAGCUUCCUGUUCCCCUUCCAUAAGGCAGCCCCACUUCCCACCCAUUCCUUCUGUCCCCAUCUUCAGAGGACUUGUCACCAUCUGACACCAUCUCCAGGGUGGAAGUUCCACGAAGGCCACAACCUCGUCUGCCUUUCGCAGCCAUGUCCCCGGCACCUGGACCGUGCCUGGCACAUCAUACGGGUUCAAUAAAGAUUUAUGGAAGGAAUCUGUGGCCUCUGCCAAAUAUACUGCGAGAGGCAAGGUCUAGCAUCCUUAAGCGACAUACCCCAGACCUUGAUUCUAAAGUCCAGAGUCUGGCUCCGGGUUUACUGCCUCACAGCUUGUUCAGAUGGGAAGAACCGGGAUCACAGAUGUCGCCGCUACUGUCACUCUGGACAAAGCCCUCAACUUGUGUUGCCCUGACCUGCCUCACCUACCAAAUGGCUGGAUAACAUCGGUGUCGCCUGCCCCCAAGACUGUGUCAAGGCUCAGAUGAGGCCUGUUUCUGCACCCUGAGUACCUGUAAAACACCGGGAACACUUCCUAAUGCGUCACUUUCACUGGAAUAUUCCGUCACGAUCUGCUUCUGGGGAACCUAGCUUAAAACCGGCACAUGUUGAUUUCUUCACCGUGGCUCGUUUUCCCUGUCAUUCCGACUCUUUUUCCUGUGUCAGGAAAGACUCUUUAAUAAAAUACAGCCACAGAUACAGCAACAAGCACUCUUCCCAUUGGAUGAGAAGCAAUGGAAGACAAGGAGCCAUCAAGGCUUUACAUCUGUUGGGGCAGAAUGUAGAAUUUUGACUUUGAAUUUUCCUGAGAAAAGACAGGGCAACAAGGUAAGCUUCUAACUCUUGUGCCCAUAAGUGUGUGGCCCUACUUACAGGCUCCCCACUUGGGGGCUCUCUUCAGAUAAACCUCUGCAGGAGCCAGAGUGGAGACCAGUGGUCCCUGAACGACUGGUACACACAGGCUGGACCACAUCACCUCCCCCAUUUAGAGCAGGGGGACCUUGUAGCAAAGUGGUGGGGGUGGGUGGGUAGGCUGAGUCCACGUGAUGAGUGAGUGGCCAUGUGUCCUCAGAAAGACUUUUAAAGAGUCCGUUCUCCAUUCCCUGGGGCUUUCUCAUCCCAAGACUUCCCACCUUUGGAGAUCAAGUUCAGAUGUCGGGGCUGGGGAGGCAUCCCUCUUUCCAUCCAAGGGUUUCAGGCAGAAAAAAAUGGAAUGGCAUUUAAUAACUUCCCUCACUGCACUAUAAAGACAAUGGCAGGGUUAGGUGUUCCUGAGCUCUCUGGGAUUUUAUUAGUUUGUUAUACUUCAAAGGGCUCUGGUGGUGCUGCCAUAACCUACUUCGGAGGAAAACAUUUAUUAUUAACAUUGGUUUAACACUUAACUUUCUAAGGUAUUUGUGGAUGGCACAGUCAUACAUCUGCCUUUUUAUAGUGCUUCGCAGCAGAGCACAAGACCUCUGGCUGACACCUCAUACAUCAUCAAAAUUAAGACCUCUAGGCAAACAGGGUAAAGUAGGGCGGGGGUGGGAUGGGA